GUCUUCGUGGUGUAGCGGUCAGUACGCUCGACGCGUAACCGAGAAGUUCGUGGUUCAAUUCCCGGCGAUGGCG
rfam:Stegodyphus mimosarum contig35484, whole genome shotgun sequence.